UUAAAUAGUCACUAUGAACCUGUACAAGUCUGUGCUUUUCAUUGCCUUAUGUCUGAUGGUCUUUCAAGAAACAGACGCUCGAUGGAGAAGGUCGAGGAGAGUCUUUUGGAAACCUUCCUCGAGCAGUGGUAUAGCAUCUCUGAUUUGUCGUAAGAUCUUUCAUGUUCAGCAAGAUUGUGUGUAUUGUAAUUGUGAAGCACCACAUACUUCACGCUGUCGCACAUCUUGUGCAGUGAGAGAAGAAAUACGACAAUGUGCAAGAGAAGCUCUGUGUCCACCAGACAUAACAACUACAACGGAAUCGACCGAAACGACAACAGUGCAAGAUCCAACAACAACAACAACGCCGUCCGUUUCAACAACGCCGUCACCGUUCUUGUGUCUCCAGCUUAAUUUCUUAUGUGUGGAACAGGGGGACUGCCCAGAUGGUUUUGAUGGUACGACUAUCCCCUGUCCACCCGGCCAAAGGUGCUGUCGGAUGUCCAGUGCAAUGAAAUGAUGCAGACAUUAUAAAAUAAGGGGGACGCUCGACGCAACGUAACUCAAGAUGCAGUACGUUGAUAGUUGGUUGUAACAGUAUGAAAUAAAAUAUAAAUCUUCA